UACGGAGGAGGCAAGCGUUAUACGGAAUUAUUGGGCGUAAAGCGUCCGUAGGUGGUUGACCAAGUCUGCUGUCAAAGGGUGGGGCUUAACCUCAUAAAGGCAGUGGAAACUGGUGAGCUAGAGUGAGGUAGGGGUAAGGGGAAUUCCCAGUGUAGCGGUGAAUUGCGUAUAGAUUGGGAAGAACAUAGGUGGCGAAAGCGCCUUUCUGGGCCUGCACUGACACUGAGGGACGAAAGCUAGGGGAGCGAAAGGG
rnacentral:rRNA from 1 species